GGGCCGAGGGCCGAGGGUAAAUUAUUCAUUGUUGAGGCAGAAGCAACAAACGAAGAAGACAGUCCAAUCGAAGCAAUACUGGUAAUUUUGAAAAUGUCUGUACAGUCAACAUUUCACCUGUGAUCUUUUCCUGUGGUCUUAAGUUUAAAGCAUAGUACAGGGACUGCGCACACUAGUGGACAACAUUUAGUAGUUACAGAGGAAGAUGCCAGGUAGGAAAAGAAUCUGUGAGAUACUCCAGCCAAAAAUACACAAAAAUCAAACAAGAAUGGAAAAGACUUAAUAGCAUCAUCACCA
rnacentral:lncRNA from 1 species